ACUUCCUUUUUUUCUUUAUAGUAUUGUUCCACUUCUAAAAGAAUCAAUUGGAAUUUUGAUGCAGCGAACUCCCCCAUCUCUGGAAAAUGCCCUGCCUCAAUGCUAUCAGAGGGUGCAGCAGUUGCAAGGAGUUUACAGUUUACAUGAUCCACAUUUCUGGACCCUCUGUACUGAUGUUUACAUAGGGACUUUGAAAUUAUUAGUAGCUCCUGAUGCUGAUGGAAGGUGGAUUCUAAGCCAAACUCACAAUAUUUUUACUCAGGCAGGAGUAAGACAGCUUUACGUACAAAUUGAUGUCGCAGCCAUGUAGUGAGCUUCUGAAAUCGUGCUGUUGGACCAAAGUUUUUUUGUACUGUAAUGGUAUAAAACAAGACACUUCCCAAGACAGAGCCUGCCUCUACCACUGGCCUGGAAUGGACUGAAUAGACUUAUGUCUUUGGGCUAUGGAUGAAGUUGACUUCUGAGGAGUAAAUAUGGAAUGAAUGUUAUGAACUCUGGGUCUUGUCUUUUGUGGCCCCCUAAACUUGUAAGUUUUUGAACAUUUUUUACUUACUACAUUUGUUCCACUAGGAGACUAAAAUGGUGGUACUGGAAAUUCUGUAAUGUCUUUAGUAAAGCUGCUGAAACUACUGCUCAUUCCCAUAAAACCAGUGUUAUCAAAAAUUGGAAACUUGUUUUGUACAUAAUGUCACAAUGGCUGACAUGCUUCGAUAUAAUUGUAUGUUUGUACAAUUGUUUGUACUUUGCAAACUUAAUGAACCAAACCAUAUUGGGUUUUCAAAGUGCCUUUUAUAUCAUGAGAGGUAUUUGCCAGCAUAAAAUAUGAAGCAUCAAAGUGUUUUAUUACUUCUACAAAUAUAUCUUGUAUGCAGUCUGAUUAUUUACUAGUGAUAUAUGUGGGGACUUCGUAUACUUGCGUAACUGUAGAUGUUAGACUUCCCUUAUUAUUGCAUUGUACCAAACAGGAAAAAUUCUGAAGGUAAAAGGCAAAGCCACUGUAAAGAGACAUCCAAAACAAGCUGGGUAUUUUGUUGCACAUUUCUUGUGGAAACUAUUUUAGUCAAAGAUUUAGAUUUAACUCCAAUCCUUAGUCUCUUUGUACUGUGAGAGUAAUGAGAUGUUAUGUGAUGCUACCCAUGUCCAUAGUCACCCAAAAAACAGAUAGCUGAGGGAAUUGUUUCCAUGGUUGAUGGAAUCAAUGCAUGAAGCUUUUUUUUUAUUUUCCAAACUGUAAGAAAGAGCAGACAAAAUUACACCCCUAUCUUUGUGAAAGUCUAAAUCUCUUUAACAGCUUGUAGUAAUUCUUGUUAAAGUGUUUGGUGAGGUAAUUUUUGCCGUUCCAAAUACUGAAGAUGUGUUCCUGGAGGUUAUACCUGAAAUGGAAAUGAAGGCCAUUCUUCAUGUUAUUCAAGAUUAAGCUUUUCCAGGAUGAAAAGUCAUGUUUAUUUUACAGUUUCACUGUAGCCUUUUGUAUUUUGAUUGGAAAAAACAUUCUCAGUGGAGUAAGUUGUUUGUUUUUUCCAGAUACAUUAGCUGUAUUUUGUAGUCAUUUUUCCAAUCUGAGCAUUGUUUUCAACAACAAUCUGCUAUACUUGAUAUUACAGAUAAUUCCACUAUGCUGUUGUAGAUAAAUUAGUAAGAGAAGGUUUCGUAAGAAGGCAUGAUAUUUUCACAAGUAGAACAUUGUGGAGAGGGAAACAAGACAGCCAUUUGUCUUGUAAAUCAUAGCCAGUAAUGCCAGUUAUAGAUUUUAAGUGUUCUUCAGGUACCUGAUUCAGAGUAACGUGGCAGCCAACACCUGUAGAAGCCGGCAGUGUCUCUGUAGUAAGUGGUAGGAAGGUACUGAAGGCUGCUUUGCAGAAAUGGUUUGUUUACCACUGAUGUUACUAAAUUCAUGUUAAGAGGAAGUUUCUGGUACUCGUUCUGUUGUUCCUGUUUAGGAUCUGAACUUUGAUCUCUCUUUCUGGGAAAAUACUGAUGGUUGCCAGAUUGAUAGAUCGUUGGUACCUGAAUUCUCCUAAUGAAAUACAGAAAUGUUAAUGUUGAUUUUGUGAAAAGCUUGGGGUUAUAUGAUGAUCUUGCAACUGAAAACUGGGAGUAAAGGAUAACAGCAGUAAAAAACCACAUACCUCUUAUAAACUUUAUGAUCCCUUCCAGUCCUCAGAGCCUUCUUUAUCCUUAUUGCUGCUUUCUGUUCUUACUCAUUUCUCCAGAGGGUGCAGGUGCAGAGUGCUGUAUCGGGCAGCUUGCAUCUCACCUUGCAGAUGCUCUGUCAGCUGUUUGGAGGUCCUGACUGGAGGAUGAAGUUACAUGGGCUGGGGCAGGGUGAAAGAAUCUGUUGAGCAAAUUUGAUUUUAUCAGUUGAAGAUAUAAUUUGCCUGUAUGACCACUGAAAAGGUAAUUAGAAGACAGCUGGAAGUUACAUCAUUUUGUAGAGAUGCAUGUAGACUGCGGGUUGGUGUUUGACAACUGUUUCUUGAUGUCGUAGUCAAUGUUCAAAAGCAAGCACUAGCCAGCUCCAUUACAACUGUCAUGAUCAAAGAGCUCAGUUUGAUUUAAAUCAUCUUUAUAGCAGCUCAGAGCAUCUUUGGAGUCUGAGUAUUCCUGGACUUGCUGAAGUACAUUGUAGUGCUGCUCAAGUUGUAGGGCUUGGUCACUGUUUUAGUUGUCUUAAUGAAAACUACUAUACUACUGCAACUGCAGAAGAUUCUCAAAGUGAGCAUCUACCCAAGUGGCAUUUGGUUUCUGCCUUUUUUUUUUAAAGUUACAGAUCUACAAAAUUUUUCAUUAUAGGAAAUUAAAUGCAAAAGCCUAUAAGGUGGUUAUAAUUACACAAUGUUGAUUUUAAUAGUUUUUUAUAUCUUUUUACUGCUUUGGAGGGCUUGAUUUCUAAACAGUGUACCACCUUAAUUUUUCAGGAGGACUUGAUGUUUUAUAAGAAAUACAUCCUUUGUGAAAUACAGUUUUGAGGGUAAUUAAGGGGGGUCAGACUCAAAAUAGACUUUUAAGCCUUCUUAGCCUUUCUGAUGAAGGAUGAGCAUUGCAAGGUUCUACAAAAGACAGUAGAUGGCCUGUCCCAGUAGCUAACUGCACUCACAUUUAGCUCCCCUGUGUCAGCUAGUGAUGAUAUUUGACUGUUUUGGUUCUUUACCAGCUACUGAGGGGCUACUUGCUGAGGCUUUAGGAGAGUACAAACCAUGCAGCUGAAAGUGUAGCCUUUUUUGUCUUGAAUAUCAAAACUCAGUUAUUUUGAUUUGCUGAUUAUGUAGCAAUUGACUUAUAAGAGGUUUUGCUUCUAGCACAUUAAUAGAUACAUCACCUUGUUUAAGCAGACUUGUGUGGGUACCUGAUAUCUAGCAAUGGAUGUGUCUGCAGAUCAUCUGCUAAAACUGAUUUUCAUAGCAAACAGUAUGGAAGUUUGAGCCAAGUUCUCAAAGUAUGCUUUCCUUACAUUUUCAUGUACCUGAAUUUUAAUGUAGGGUUUCUGAUCUAAGUAAUAUUUUUAUCUGUGAAAGAAAAUAGUAACUUAAAACUACCUGGACCAAAGUCCAAUCCUGCAAAUUGCAUUUUUACACGAUGUACAGCAAAAUGAUAUUUUACUUUGCUGAGAGCAUACUGUGAAAGAUUUGACUGUCUUAAAAAAGAAAAAAAACUGCUCUAGAAUGCCUGUGCUUAAAAUGCCCUCAUCAUAGUGAUAAAUGUGGCCCUUGUAGAGAGCUUGAUUUGCUCAAGAGAGAAAGUGCAAAUUGAAUAAAUGGCUCUAUUUCUACAUAAUACUGUUUACUAAAAGUCAAGCUUAAUCUCAUUAGAGCUGAGGACGCUAUUUUUACACAGAAAUUGAAAUGUGCUGCUACUAGUAGGAUAGACCUUAGUGACUUUUAACAUCAUUUUUAUUUCUUAUUUGAGUUUAAAGGUAGAGGAAGGAAAGUGUCUGUUUUCUGUUGGUCAGUGAACCUUUUUCAGGAAGGUAAACAGACAAGGUGAGAGAAGCUGCCUCAGAACUGUAGUUUUCCACCCUUGAAUAUUUAAGCUGCAAUCAAAUUGGGAACUUCAUGACUUUUUUCCCAGACUGAAUGUAGAUUUCAGUUGCUGAAACCUUGAUGCUUUCAAAUCCUAACGUAACUCAUGUGAUGAGAUAAUUUCAAUGCCAGUUCAGAACGACAGCUUUAGUUACUGAUUAGCCCUGUCCUGUUUUCCCCAGCAGCCACUGACAGCCACUUUCUAUGACUGCUGAGGACCUUCUCCCUUUGAGGUGUGUUUGUAAGACUAAGUCAUAAGGGAUUUUAAUUUUUUUUUUUAAUAAUUCAUUUCUCUGAUCCCUUACACCAAUUUAGUGGUUAGUUUAUCCUGUACACCUCUAGAAAAAUCCCUAUCUGCAACUUGCUGGAAUUCCCUUCUGGAUUUCUUUCCCCAUUCAGGCUUUUUUUGAAGUGACCAUAUAUGUUGGGACUUCAUUGGCCAGAGACUGCUAUAAUGUGAAAAGGUGCCAGUUAUUCUACUCUUGUCUCUGGUAUGUGAAGACUGCGUUUCACUACGUGUGAAUACUGGUUAAUCUGUCUGUUUCAGUGAGACACAGUAUGUUCCUGCCUAUGUGGAAAUCGGGCA